CUUCAUCAACACCGCAACCGCGGCAGCUGUGCAAAGAUGCCUCGCAAGGAGAGGAUAAAAAAACAAAAAAAGAAGGAGCUGCUUGAGUCAGCAAAAGGCAGUGGAUCCCUGUCCAGCUGGUUUAUGAAGAGCACAACAGCUCUUGGUGUGCAGCAGCCUCUGUGAGCAUCUCCCUCUUAUUUUCUUGGAGCAGUCAGCCUUGGCAGUCUCUCAGAUCAACUCCAGUAUUAGCAGCAGCAACAACAACAGCAAAGGCAGCAUACUCACUCAAGGAAUUUAGUAAGAUUUUACCAGAACAGGUAUCACAUU